UGGGGAAUUUUGGACAAUGGGCGAAAGCCUGAUCCAGCCAUGCCGCGUGAGUGAAGAAGGCCUUCGGGUUGUAAAGCUCUUUUAGUCGGAAAGAAAGAGUUGCAAUGAAUAAUUGUGAUUUAUGACGGUACCGACAGAAAAAGCACCGGCUAACUACGUGCCAGCAGCCGCGGUAAUACGUAGGGUGCGAGCGUUAAUCGGAAUUACUGGGCGUAAAGGGUGCGCAGGCGGUCUUGCAAGUCAGAUGUGAAAGCCCCGGGCUUAACCUGGGAAUUGCGUUUGAAACUACAAGACUAGAGUGCAGCAGAGGGGAGUGGAAUUCCAUGUGUAGCAGUGAAAUGCGUAGAGAUGUGGAAGAACACCGAUGGCGAAGGCAGCUGGCUACGCGGAUAUUGACACUGAGGCACGAAAGCGUGGGGAUCAAACA
rnacentral:rRNA from 1 species